rnacentral:misc_RNA from 1 species
GGGAUCGAUGUGCAGUGUCAGGUAUUAUUUCUUAAUUCCAGAAUAUUUUGUUAGUUAAUCAUUGAAUAAUCAUUAUAUAGGUAUUAUUUUCUGAAAUAUCAUUAUAAUUAAUUAGGAUGGCUGAUAUCUAAGUGAGAAUGGAUAUUCAUAUUUGCUGUUUACAUUGGAAAAUUGCAAGAAAAUAGCAUAAACAAAGCAGCUACUUUGACUUUCCUCUGUUUUCAGACAAUAUAUGUUUCUUCAGUAAGAAAGGAAAGUUGUUCUAAUCAAAUCUAAUUUGCUUAUUAGAAUUUCAUAUUGAUUUUUUGGUUUCUUGCAUUUAAGGCAAUAAUUUACAUGUCAACCAUGAUUAUAACAAUGGGUUUUCUUAAUUAAAGUUGUUAGGUAGGGGGAUUCUUUUUUAGAUCAAAAUAAGAGACUAGAAGAAGAAUGCCUUCAUUCACGCAUGAAUUACUUGUGUUUUAGUUUUCUUUCGAUAGCUUUUAUCAAAUGAGAAUGAAUAUUAAUAUUUGCUUUUUUCAUGGGAAAUUUGUAAAAAGAGGUGCAAAUUAGGGUAACAAUGGAUGGAAAGAUGGUGUAUAUAGCUACUCUGCUCAUUCUUCUGAUAUUUUAACAUAUCAAUAGGCCCUAUCUUUAUUCAAGAUU